rnacentral:lncRNA from 1 species
UGCAAUCAUCAAUAUGGUUAUUACCAAAGGUUGUAAUCAUCAAUAGUUGCAAGCUUUCAUUUAUAUAGUUGCAAUUGUUCAUAUAAACAAUUGCAACAGUUCAUAUAAAAAUUUGCACCCAUUUACUUAAAUAUAUAAUAGUUAUCCCAUGUUCUUUCUCUUUUUCGUGUUCACCCAUUCCCAUCUUUCAUAAUGAUGAGAGAAAAAAGAAAAUUUAUAUUGAUUUUCAUAGGAACGUUUCAAUGUAAGGGCAUCAUCAACGAUAAGUCUCUCACAUAGUCUCUUAACAUAUUUAUAUUAAUUUCUAGUGAAAAUUUAGUUGAGUAAUUAAAAUUUAAAGUAAAAAGAUAAAUCAUGCAAUAAAUGAAAGACACAUGGCAGAUGAUUUAUUAGAGACAACGAGAAAG